UUUCCGGAGAUGAGGGUGGGCACCAAUCCCAGACGAGCCCCCAAAUGAAAGACAUCUGAAAUGGGGAGACCCUCACUCAAGUCUGGGGAUGACGUGACCCCCCAAGAACUCACAAGCGACU
rnacentral:pre_miRNA from 14 species